GCUGGCCGCGGACUUACAGCCACGACGGCACUUCCCCCGCGCCUGGUUCCCUGCGCCUGCGCUCUAGGUGGUGGGCGCCUGCUUCUCGGUUCCCCACGACUCCCCUCCUCGCUCAGGCAGCGACUGUUUCUUUCCAGAGCUUCGCGUCUUACGUCUUGGCACAGGGGAGCUGAGAGUUCACAGGAGAAAGACAAUCUUCUUGUGUUCGGAGAAGGCUGAAUGAAGGACAUGGUGUUGUACUCAUCGAGACAUUAGUUGCAAGCUGGGCGAUCCCUGGAACCUAAAGCAUGAAUCCAAAACAAAUGAGACCUUCAAGAAAAAGGAGGAGGUAUCCUACUUUGGCAGAGAGAUUUGAGUCACCAGCUUGGUGAGAAGCUCACAGCAACCUUCAGAGAAAUUUCAUGCCCUUGAAGGUUCCUGCAAGACCCAUUUUACCCUUUUUCCUCCUUAACCUCCACUCUGCUAGACCUGGCCCAUGGCGGUCAUGAAAAUGCGACUGUCAGAUUUUCAACUCCAGGAGGGUGAUUGAUGGAGGUCCUCAGCUGCUGCACUCUGAAUCCGUCACCUCCUUAGUGUUGAGGCCAUGCUUCCCACCGUGGCUCCCAGUCAAAGGCAGAGUGCAUUGGGGAUACUAAGACAGGAGACCAAGGGGAUGCCUGGGAGAUGUGAGUCUCCUUUGAUGGGUCAGUGGCUCCAGGAUUGCCCAUUGGCUUUGCCAAACACUCUUGGAUGACCAGCAUCCUGGGAUAAUUUCACCCCCGCCCUUCUCUACUUCACUGGGUUCUUACGGCUCCUCAGCCUCUUCCAGCUCCUUCAGAUUUCUCCCCACAGGCAUUUCCCCCAAUAAAUUUAUUGCUUGUUUCAUUUUGUUUUGACAUCUACCUCUUGGAGGAUUCAUACUAACCUACUCCCCUUGCUCAAGAGUGGGAACCCCCCGGGGCUUCCCUGGUGGUCCAGGAGUUAAGAAUCUGCCUUGGAAUGCAGGGGACUUGGGUUCGAUCCCUGGGUGGGGGACUAGGAUCCCACAUGCUGAGGAGCAUCUAAGCCUGAGAGCUGCAACUGCUGAGCCUGCACACCACGACGAGCCAGUCCAUGAACCGUGGUGAAAGAUCCCUCACGAUGCAACAAAGAUCCAAUGUGCUGCAACUAAGACUUGAUG
ensembl:lncRNA